rnacentral:rRNA from 1 species
CCUACGGGCGGCAGCAGUGAGGAAUAUUGGUCAAUGGACGAGAGUCUGAACCAGCCAAGUAGCGUGAAGGAUGACUGCCCUAUGGGUUGUAAACUUCUUUUAUAUGGGAAUAAAACGUUCCACGUGUGGGAUUUUGUAUGUACCAUAUGAAUAAGGAUCGGCUAACUCCGUGCCAGCAGCCGCGGUAAUACGGAGGAUCCGAGCGUUAUCCGGAUUUAUUGGGUUUAAAGGGAGCGUAGGUGGAUUGUUAAGUCAGGUGUGAAAGUUUGCGGCUCAACCGUAAAAUUGCAGUUGAAACUGGCAGUCUUGAGUACAGUAGAGGUGGGCGGAAUUCGUGGUGUAGCGGUGAAAUGCUUAGAUAUCACGAAGAACUCCGAUUGCGAAGGCAGUUCACUGGACUGCAACUGACACUGAGGCUCGAAAGUGUGGGUAUCAAACAGGAUUAGAUACCCCAGUAGUC